AUGCUUGCUCAGGCAGCACUUGUACUGAAAUUGGAAUGCUACAGAGAUUAGCAUAGCCAAGGGCAAGGAUAAUACACAAAUUCAAGAAGUUUUCCAUAUUUUU